rnacentral:rRNA from 1 species
UGGGGAAUUGUUCGCAAUGGGCGAAAGCCUGACGACGCAACGCCGCGUGGAGGACGAAGAUUUUCGGAUCGUAAACUCCUUUCGAUCGGGACGAAUGACUGGUGACCCAAUACGUCAUCAGAGUGACGGUACCGAGAGAAGAAGCCCCGGCUAACUCCGUGCCAGCAGCCGCGGUAAUACGGGGGGGGCAAGCGUUGUUCGGAAUUACUGGGCGUAAAGGGCGCGUAGGCGGCCUGCUAAGUCACACGUGAAAUCCCUCGGCUCAACCGGGGAACUGCGUGUGAUACUGGCGGGCUUGAAUUCGGGAGAGGGAUGUGGAAUUCCAGGUGUAGCGGUGAAAUGCGUAGAUAUCUGGAGGAACACCGGUGGCGAAGGCGGCAUCCUGGACCGAGAUUGACGCUGAGGCGCGAAAGCUAGGGUAGCAAACGGGAUUAGAUACCCUGGUAGUCCACGCCGUAAACGAUGGAUGCUAGCCGUUGGGCAGCUUGCUGUUCAGUGGCG